CUUAACCUCAGUGGGAUGGGUGUUUAUUGUAUAGACGUCAAUGGGCAUUUCUUGAUCUGCAUGGGCAUGUCUUGCAAUGUGGGGGAAUGUUUCGCAUGGGUGCAGGAAUUCACAAUAAAAGUUUAAUGAGCAUGAGUGAGAGUUCAGAUCAGGACACCUUUAGCUUUCCUGGAGGACACAGGAUUUUUUUUUUUUUUUUUUAUAGGAUAAUGGAUAAGCAGGGAUAGAGCGCAAGAGGGCUGACAUGGAUAGAGAUUUUACAGUAGAACUAGGUUGUAAAUGAAGCACGGAAGAUUAAAAUGUAGCUCAGGAUGGUGUACAGUGUACGAUACCCACUCCGGAACAGAAGGUGGCGGUGUUGCACCAAUAAGCUGGACGCCGACCGCCAUGAAACCAGAAGAAGCUUCACAUGCGGCGCAGAGGGUUGAAGCAAACGGUAAUGAGCGAUCAAAAAACAGUUUUGAGUAAAUAUAACGACAUUGUUUUGAACCCUCAGCAGCUCUAGCAAUGAAUUUACAAAUGCAGCUUGUUGUCUUCGUGAAAACUAACCCGGGUCCAAGAGGAAAGUGUGAAAAUGCCAGUGUCUUGAAGUCAUGACGAAGCUUACCAAAGAUGUCCUGCUGCAGGGAGAGUAGAUUGUCCAACAUCCAACAGCAUCGCUUACUGCCAAAGUGGCCACAGAAGAGGAUGACAUUACCGGAGAUGGCACAGCCUCCAGCGUGCUUGUCGGAGCAGCUAAAACGGGCAAACCUGUGUGUUUCAGAGGUGACAUGACCAAGAAGAAAGAGGAAAUGUACUGAAAACGACCAGAUGGGUGGACAAAGAGAUUCGCAUCCAUGUAACUCCUGCAUUCCUUCUCGGCCAAGGUCCACGCUGAGCUGGCUGACCUGCUAACAGAGCAUGGUGAACUCUGACUGAGGGAUCUCAUUCAGGAGCCAGUCAGCAAAAUCAUCAAGCAGACGAACACAAUGAGUUUAAAACAACAAGGGUCUGUGUGCUCAUAAACCAGAAGGGGAUUUAUCCAAAUGUCCCAGAUGCCAGAUCGGCUAAUCAGGAGGAGCAGAGAGGAGGAGGAGCACAUGUUUACAGAGAAAUGGUUGAUGUUGACCCCUGCACAGUCGCCUUGGCAUGGACUCCAGAAGAAUGCCAUCGAGGAUGGGGAACCAAUGGUUGACUUCUGCAGGAGCAUCGGAAAGCAACAGUGACAAGGAACAACUCCACACAGAGUAACAUGGAAAAUCAACACAUUCACGACCAAAUUCUGAUCUUUUUAACAUUUUUUUUUUUUUACUUUCCACCCUCAAUAUUCUGUUAGUAACAUCUUGGCAUCUCCGAAGGCUUAUUGUCAAAUUGGAUGACAGUAAUUACCAUUAACAGUGACCAGCAGGUCACUGAAGCACUGCAGAUGCUGUAAACUACAGAAGGCAUGCAUAAAUGUGCAUAAAUCCCGCCACUCCAAUUCUCACCCCUUUCCCCCCAUUUUAUUGGGUUAUGAUGGAAAUAAUGUAACUCACUCUUUGUUCAUAAUAAACUUGUAACUGUUUAUGAAA